UACGUAGGGCGCAAGCGUUGUCCGGAAUUAUUGGGCGUAAAGAGCUCGUAGGCGGUUUGUCGCGUCUGCCGUGAAAGUCCGGGGCUCAACUCCGGAUCUGCGGUGGGUACGGGCAGACUAGAGUGAUGUAGGGGAGACUGGAAUUCCUGGUGUAGCGGUGAAAAUGCGCAGAUAUCAGGAGGAACACCGAUGGCGAAGGCAGGUCUCUGGGCAUUAACUGACGCUGAGGAGCGAAAGCAUGGGGAGCGAACAGG
rnacentral:rRNA from 1 species